CGGAACAAGCUGUUAACAACUUCUAGCAACCUUGUUUAUAUAUGUCAGACUUGUUAAAGGUUGUUCCAACAAGUCCGAUACAGUCAUGAUAUAACAAUAUUGUUACAACCUUGUGUCAUCAACCUUGUAACAUUCUUGUUAUAUCAUGACUGUAUCAGACUUGUUAGAACAACUUUGUAACAAGUCUGAUAAUGCCAUCAAGCUUGUUACAAGUUGUUAACAGUUUGUUCCA
rnacentral:miRNA from 1 species